AGUCUCUGACCACUCAGUAAUGACUCUAGAGAGAACAGAUUUCUGGACCUGCUACCUGAAGGUCAGGCAGUCAGGGAAGAUAAAAGGCUUCACAGGACUCCAGCCGCACUAGAGGGGAGGCCGGCAGGAGCCCCGCCCUCCCAACGCCUGGGUUAUCUGAGAGCCUGAGCUACACCACCGGGCUCCACCGACAGAAUGCGCCCUGCCUGGUUCCUCCGCAUCUGGCUUUGCUCCUUCCUUUCAAGUGCAUCAUAGAUACGUGUUGGUCACAGAUCUGGGGCUGUGGACGCGAGAAGAAAUCAUCACCAGAUAUCCUGAAGACACAUAAUGGGGGUGUUCUCACUAGGGAGCUCCGGUGAGAGAAGGAUAUGGAAGAAGAGGACAUGUUCAGUUUUAGAAACACCAAAAAUAAAAAGCUGAGUGGACUCUGAUAUGUUUUUCCUUUUUAUCCUCUUUCUCCAAGUUCUUGGAGAAACCAAUCUACCCCUUCCCAUGCUGAGGUCCUAUUAUAAACUUGAUUUUCUGGCGGGAGAAUUCUCAGCCCUUUAAUGAAUCAAAUUAAUUUGU